rnacentral:rRNA from 1 species
UACGUAGGUGGCAAGCGUUGUCCGGAUUUACUGGGCGUAAAGAGCGCGCAGGUGGUUGGAUAAGUCGAAUGUGAAAGCCCCCGGCUCAACUGGGGAGGGUCAUUCGAUACUGUCCGACUCGAAGGCAGGAGAGGGAAGCGGAAUUCCCGGUGUAGUGGUGAAAUGCGUAGAUAUCGGGAGGAACACCAGUGGCGAAGGCGGCUUUCUGGCCUGUUCUUGACGCUGAGGCGCGAAAGCCAGGGGAGCAAACGGG